GCUUGGCCCUAAACCCAGGCUGCACCUAUACUUGCAGCCCGCCAGAAAACUACAGGUGAAAAACCUAAAACUCAAAGGACUUGACGGUGUCCCACAUCCUCCUAGAGGAGCCUGUCCUAUAAUCGAUACUCCACGUUAUACCUCACCCACUCUUGCACAUCAGCCUAUAUACCGCCGUCGUCAGCCUACCUCAUGAGAGCCAAGUCGUAGACAAAAUAGUCCUAUCACUAAUACGUCAGGUCAAGGUGUAGCUAAUGAGUGGGAAGAGAUGGGCUACAUUUUCUAAAUUAGAAAACCACCACGAGUAGUAUGAAAUAUCUAACAGAAGGCGGAUUUAGCAGUAAACCUGAUAACGAAUUAUCAUCUUGAAACUUGCUCUGGGAUGCGU
rnacentral:rRNA from 1 species